UUGAUUUUAUGCCAAUAUUACAACUUCUAGGGUGGCUCAUUUUCCUGAAUCGCCGAUGCGAUCACCCUCGUCGGCAAUGAGUGGCCCCCACGCGUUUCGCUUGAUCCAUGCCGCCGAUUUGCUCACAUGAAACACA
ensembl:ncRNA ZC64.8 ncRNA